rnacentral:lncRNA from 1 species
CUUUAGCUUUAAAUGUAUUCAGGUGAGUCUCAUCAGUGAUCACCAUUGUACUGAUCAACAAUAUUAGCAUUUCAGUGAGCCCACAUUAGUAGGCUAACUUUGAGCAGGUGUGGCACGAAAGCACAAGUGCGUUAGUCCUUAAAACAUGUCUCCUCAAUACUAUCUGAGACUGGCUUUGGUUGGUUUGACUCUUUCUGUUGUGGGAUGUUUGCCUGAUGCGUCAAUCGCCUUCAGCCGUGUGCUGAGCCACAGACCCUGGGGACCAGAUGGUGAAACUACAGACACGUGUGGAUUACCAGCAGGCCAUGGGUGGUGCACACCUUCACUUCUGUGUUUCUCCUGUAGAUGCCCAGCCUUCAACUGAUGUCAGUGUGCACGCACAAGUUGAAACAAGACCUUCCACAUAAAGAUCUCUUUUGUACUGGUGAAACAUGCAUGAAAAAUGUGUGGAAUGACCCUUAAGACUCUGUAUACUGUAAUCUAUCAGCUCUGAGUAAAACUAGACAGCUUGCUGCUCAUUGAUGUAUAGCCGAGAUACUGUUACCACUCUAUCUGUCUAUAGAGGACAGUGAAUGCAUGACAGGGCACAUACUAUGGAAGCUGGUUCUACCUCAGAACAAAAAAAAAUAAAGGCAAUUAUGAGAUAGAAUGAGAUAACUACAAGUAACUCACAAUUGAAAGAUAUACAGUAAUUCACAAUUACAAGAAAUAAAGUUGAAAAUCUGACAAAUAAUGUCACUCUGCAAAAUACUGAAGGUGAACCAACUCCAGGGUAAGGCUAAAAGUAGCCUAAUAACUCCGCACAUCAUAAACCCAUCUAUUUUAGGCAAGUAGCCUACCAGGCUAGAAGUCAGAAGUCAGAAUGAGCUUUAUUGCCAAGUAUGUUUACACACACAAGUAAUUUGUCUUCGCGACAGGAGCUUCCAGUGCAGAAGACAAUACAGACAUAGAGCAAACAUACAUGAUAGUGCAGACACACAUAGGAAUUACACAGUAGAGAUGAAAUAUAACACUAAUAUAAGAAAAACAGAAAAUUAAAUAAUGCAAUAUAAUACAGAAAUUAGACUUGUGCCGGUAUUCGGUAAUGCGAUAUAUCACGGUAAUGAAUAUGCACGAUAUUGUUAUCGUGGGCUCUUCUAAAUACCGUGAAUAAUUAUAUAUUACAAGUUAUUCAGAAUUUUGAAUGCAUUUUAAGAAUACUUUUCCCAUCAACUGGUCAAAAUGCACAACACAGCUGUAUGCUGCAUGAAAGACCUGUGCGAUGUAAACAAGCGGACGAGAAGCACAUGGCGGAACAUGUGAGAGACGCUCUGGAUGAAAGCGCACUUUCACUCUCUGACAGCAGAUGGCGCUAAACUGCAGAAAUAAUAAUAAUAAUAAUAAUAAUAAUAAUAAUU